GAGAAUUUUUCACAAUGGGCGCAAGCCUGAUGGAGCGACGCCGCGUGGGGGAUGAAUGGCUUCGGCCCGUAAACCCCUGUCAUUCGCGAUCAAGGCGCAUUAUUUAAAAGAUGAUGUGUUGAUAGUAGCGGAAGAGGAAGGGACGGCUAACUCUGUGCCAGCAGCCGCGGUAAUACAGAGGUCCCAAGCGUUGUUCGGAUUCACUGGGCGUAAAGGGUGCGUAGGUGGUGGGGUAAGUCGGAUGUGAAAUCCCCGGGCUUAACUCGGGAAAGGCAUUGGAAACUGGCCUGCUGGAGGUUCGGAGGGGGGACUGGAAUUCUCGGUGUAGCAGUGAAAUGCGUAGAUAUCGGGAGGAACACCAGUGGCGAAGGCGGGUCCCUGGACGACAACUGACACUGAGGCACGAGAGCGAGGGGAGCAAACA
rnacentral:rRNA from 1 species